rnacentral:rRNA from 1 species
UACGGAGGGUGCAAGCGUUACUCGGAAUCACUGGGCGUAAAGCGGGUGUAGGUGGUUUUGCAGGUCGGGUGUGAAAUCCCAUGACUCAAUCAUGGAAUUGCAUUCGAAACCGCAUGACUAGAGUACGGGAGAGGGUGGCGGAAUUCCCAGUGUAGCAGUAAAAUGCGUAGAUAUUGGGAGGAACACCAGUGGCGUAAGCGGCUAUCUGGCUCGACAUUGACGCUGAGGCACGAAAGCGUGGGGAUCAAACAGG